UUACUUACCUGGUAGGGGAGAGACCAUGAUUAAAAAGGUGGUUUUCCCAGGAUGAGGCUAUCCCAUUGCACUGUAGGUGUGCUGACACCUGCGAUGUCCCCAAAUGUAGGAUAGCUGAUGGCAACAUUUGUAGAAGUGGGGACAUUGUGUUCCGUA